rnacentral:rRNA from 1 species
GAUGAACGCUGGCGGCGUGCCUAAUACAUGCAAGUCGAGCGAACAGAUAAGGAGCUUGCUCCUUUGACGUUAGCGGCGGACGGGUGAGUAACACGUGGGUAACCUACCUAUAAGACUGGGAUAACUUCGGGAAACCGGAGCUAAUACCGGAUAAUAUUUCGAACCGCAUGGUUCAAUAGUGAAAGAUGGUUUUGCUAUCACUUAUAGAUGGACCCGCGCCGCAUUAGCUAGUUGGUAAGGUAACGGCUUACCAAGGCGACGAUGCGUAGCCGACCUGAGAGGGUGAUCGGCCACACUGGAACUGAGACACGGUCCAGACUCCUACGGGAGGCAGCAGUAGGGAAUCUUCCGCAAUGGGCGAAAGCCUGACGGAGCAACGCCGCGUGAGUGAUGAAGGUCUUCGGAUCGUAAAACUCUGUUAUUAGGGAAGAACAUAUGUGUAAGUAACUGUGCACGUCUUGACGGUACCUAAUCAGAAAGCCACGGCUAACUACGUG